AUGGCCUCAGCCCAGGGAGCAAGCAGUCUUCGCCCCGGUGGGGACCGCCCGCUACGCAGAGACGUCCACGGUCCGCGUGGAGACCUCAUCCCACCGCGUGGAGACAUCGUCCGGAUGGAUGGAGACCUCACAGGGCCGCAGCGAGGGGCCUUCCCUCUCCCCGUCGAGAAAGUGGCUCCCUGGCGUCCUCGCGGCGUCCUCCUGGCACGUGGAAGCCUCCUUGCAGCGCAUGGAAACGACCUCCCGCCACGUCAGGGACCCUGCGGGUGGAGACGUCUCUGCACCGCGCGGAGAGCCCGGCCCCGAGGGCCAGGCCGGCCGCCCCUCAGAGAGAAAAAAACAGCCUGAUGAGAUGCUGCUUCCCAAAGGCCACCAAGGGGCCAGGGCCUUCGGCCAGGAGAGAAAGGCCUCCAGUUGCCAGCCAGCCAGCUGCCAGGUGGGCCAAUCUUUUUCGGUUUCAUGGGAACAGCCCAUAAAUCAAUGUAAGAAACAGCUAAGCUGCGGUUCCUGAACACAGCCAACGUUUUUUGACCAUCCUACGGCGUCUUGGACCAGUCGGCUUUUGAACCAGUGAAUUAUAUUCACUUGAAGUCAGCACAAAAGGUUUUCAGGCCCAGGAUGCUAUAUAAAUCGGGUUGAUGGACAAAGAGGCUGUUUGAGCCUCUGAGCCAGGUGAGUUUGGGAUCCAGAGCCCUCAGAUGACCUUCACCCCUUAGGAACAGAGACCAAACUGAAAUCAUGACCUGUGGAAUGAUUCCAUGCCUGCUAAAAGCUUGAAAGGCAACAGACUCAUAAAUUACUAAUUGGCCUUUGUUUAUGUUUCAAAGUAAAUGGUUUUCUUUUACCUGGCACCCCCAUUCACACACUUUUUAAAUGUAGGUUAGAUGUAGUUAAAAAUGACAGCAAACCCACCAGCAAGCAAAAAUAAUCUUAGAAGAGAAAGUGAAAGGAGGUCAUUGAAACCUGACCUGAGGUUUGAAGAAGAUGGACAAGAGUCAUAUUUACUGAGUACCUGCUCUGUGCCAGGCACUACAGAUGCUCCUCCACUUACGAGGGAGUUACCUCCCAAUAAACCCAUUGUAAGUAGAAAAUAUGGUAAUUUGAAAAUGCACUUACUAUCUACAACCUACUAAACAUCGUAGCUUAGCCUAGCCUACCUUAAACAUGCUCAGGACACAUUAGCCUAAAGUUGAGCAAAAUCAUCUAACAGAAAGCCUAUUUUAUAAUAAAAUGUUGAAUAUCUCA